AGGAUGGAGGACCCUGUCCAGGGUCACACAUGUGGCAGAGCAGGAAGGAGAACGUAGGCAUGUCUGACUCCGAAGUUGCCUUGAAGAGGGUACCACCGUGUUAUUUGGGAAACUCAUUUGAACCCAACAGAACUCCUUUCCCGGGGGCCCCUGAGGAGGCUGUCAUCCCAACUCACGCUCACCCAAGGAAGUACCAGCUGGUGAUCUUGGUGGCAUUGGCAACGGAGCCUCCCCAGUGGCUUCCAGCAAGUCACUGGGGCCUUGCCCAUGGGGGAACUGACAAGGAGGAAGGUCGCACCUGCCAUUGGAAACCAGAGAGACAGCUUCUGUGCACCCAAGAGACUCCUUGGAGGCUCCAAGGGAGAAAUACUACCAUGGGAUGGUUACUGUAGACUGACAUGGUUUGAGAAUAGAGAGAAAAAAAUGUAUUAUUAAAAACCCAAA
ensembl:lncRNA novel transcript